GCAAAGUGCAAGCUGUUGGUGGAUCUACCAAUCUGGGUUCUGGAGGACAGCAAUGACCCUCUUCUCACAGCUCCACUAGGCAGUAUCCUCCCUCCCUCAACACACAUACACUUAAUCCUGGAGAGUCCCCGAAGUCAGGACAACACAAGGACACUGGGUAAUGCCACUUGAGGCAGAGUGAGAGGCAUCACAGAGCUCAAGGGACAUGCUGAGGGAGGCCAUCCCAGCAGUGCUGAAAUUCUGCUACCUGGCAGACAUGCUAACUGUAGCAUCCAAAGAGCCCGCUUCCCUUCUCAGUCACCUUCCUUCCCAUCCAGAAUGAAAAAGCAUGGAAAUGACUGAUGACUGACACCGUA
rnacentral:lncRNA from 10 species